CCUAGUUCAUUGUGAUCAUGGCCUUUGGUGAAACCUGAUCGGAGAUUGUGAUGAACUUGCUGAUGCCUUGGGUUCCUUGCCAUAAACAUCAGCGCAUGAGCUUCUUCCCUAUUUUUUCCUGCUAUAGUGUUUCAUAUUGCAUCAUAGAGGCAAAGGAACCUGUUCUCAUCCCCAUGUAGAAGGAGGAAUGCUGGGAUUCUGUUUUACCUCCAGAGGGAUUCCAGAAUACAGAGCCAGUCCACCUUCAUUUCCCUUGGAGUGAAACUCAGCUCUUCCAGCAGGCCUUGAAAGACUCAGCUCAAGCAGUUUGGCUGCCGGCUCCAAGUCUUAUAUAAACAUGGACAUUUUGUGCUGCACUGUUUUUGUGAAAUCAUGAAAGGAGGCCUGAGCUGGUGUGUUUUGGCUGCAAGUAGCUUUGGGCCUCUGCGUGCCUGGCAGAAGGCUUAUGUUACCAGGCCACUGAUUGUCGGCAGAGCUCUUAUUACAUUAACAGCUGUCAGACGGGAUUUUCUCUCCCCUCAGAUUUCAUAUAUUAGCUGUAAUAAUACCAAUUUGCCAUGAAAACAAAACACCAUUCAAACACAGUUUGCUGAGAUAGAGGCCUCUGGUGUUAGUUAUUUCUCACACUGACUUAAAAUGGGGUUUUAUUUUUUAUUUGUUCUGGAAAAUACCUACUUUAAAGUGUGAUUGUAAAUGGCAGGUAGCUAAAUGGACAUGAUAAAUUGAUUGAAAUAAUCUCUCUGAAAUUUGAUUUAAGUAACAUUGCUUCUUCCUGCUUUUGUUUGUCCCUCAUCAUUUCAGUUACAAAAUAUAAAUGUUUAAAUUUAAAUGUAAAUAAGAAAUAACUUAUGUACUGUUACAUAAAUUAUGUGAAGCUGUCUCUCAGAAAAUAAAUAAUUCUGUCCUCCUGUAUGUGCUAAAAAAAACACCUUGACUCUGAAAUGUGUACCUUCCCCAAACCGAAAGGUUCCUCAUUACGUAGUCCCUGACGCUUCUCUCCCUUCACAGUUUUAUUGUAAUCCUGAUAAUGAGGGGUCUCUAUGACAAAACAUCAGA